rnacentral:rRNA from 1 species
UCGAACGAGAAAGGGGCGCAAGCUCCGAGUAAAGUGGCGGACGGGUGAGUAACACGUGGGUGAUCUGCCCUCCAGUGGGGGAUAACAUACCGAAAGGUGUGCUAAUACCGCAUGGAGUUCCGGUUGUCGCGAUCGGAAUGAAAGCAGCAAUGCGCUGGAGGAGGAGCCCGCGUCGGAUUAGCUAGUUGGUGGGGUAAUGGCCCACCAAGGCUACGAUCCGUAGCCGGCCUGAGAGGGUGACCGGCCACACUGGAACUGAGACACGGUCCAGACUCCUACGGGAGGCAGCAGUGGGGAAUUUUGCGCAAUGGGGGAAACCCUGACGCAGCAACGCCGCGUGGACGAUGAAGGCCUUUGGGUCGUAAAGUCCUGUCAGCAGGGAAAAACACAAUGAUGGUACCUGCAGAGGAAGCUCCGGCUAACUUCGUGCCAGCAGCCGCGGUAAUACGAGGGGAGCAAGCGUUGUUCGGAAUCAUUGGGCGUAAAGGGCGCGUAGG